CUCGGGCCCGCCAGUGCCCCAACGGGGCCCUAGUUUUUUCUUUUUCCUCCCCUUUGAACUGGAAAAUGGCCCACUUCCCACUGGCGAAAACUCAUGAAAUUUGGCAGGACGACCGGGCCUGGUGAAAAAUUUGAUAUUCCGAAGUCGCCCAAACAAGAAAAUGCAAAAUGGCUCCAUAGCGCCCCCUAAGGUGAAAAUUCACACUAUUGACUGUCACGCCUCUACGCUUUGUCAAAAUGACACAAAAAUUGACACACACAUGUAUCUCAAUAAGAUCUACAAAAAAGUCAGUGCGGGCGUAUCUGUCAAAUGUACGGUUAAAGGGUUAUUUCGCAUUUUUUGCCGAUCCGCACACAUUGGAAUUUCGCUAACUCCUCCGAAGGCUUUCGUUCCACCGGCACCACAUUUGCUCAGGCCAAUCUACACCCCAUGGCCAUUAAAAGUUAUUCAAAUCAUGACGCUGCACCCCACGGUUUAGGUUCUAGGGGGCGCCAAAGAUAACCCUAAAAUCCACAUAUUUAAAAGUCUUAUAACUUUUUAUUUUUGCCCUCACUGGCCUCCAAGUUUUCUAGGAUGAUGCAAUGUCCAGCCAUCAACACAUUUGUGAAGGAAUUUUUACUCCCCAAAAGAGCGCCCCCCCAUGGCAGGAGAAAAAAGUCAAUUUUUUCUUGUCCCCUAAGGUGAAAAUUCACACUAUUGACUGUCACGCCUGUACGCUUUGUCAAAAUGACACAAAAAUUGACACACACAUGUAUCUCAAUAAGAUCUACAAAAAAGUCCGUGCGCGCGUAUCUGUCUAAUGUACGGUUAAAGGGUUAUUUCGCAUUUUUUGCCGAUCCGCACACAUUGGAAUUUCGCUAACUCCUCCGAAGGCUUUCGUUCCACCGGCACCACAUUUGCUCAGGCCAAUCUACACCCCAUGGCCAUUAAAAGUUAUUCAAAUCAUGACGCUGCACCCCACGGUUUACGUUCUAGGGGGCGCCAAAGAUAACCCAAAAAUCCACAUUUUUAAAAGUCUUAUAACUUUUUAUUUUUGUCCUCACUGGCCUCCAAGUUUUCUAGGAUGAUGCAAUGUCCAGCCAUCAACACAUUUGUGAAGGAAUUUUUACUCCCUAAAAGAGCGCCCCCCCAUGGCAGGAGAAAAAAGUCCAUUUUUUCUUGUCCCCUAAGGUGAAAAUACACAUUGUUGACUGUCACGCCUGUACGCUUUGGCAAAAUGACACAAAAAUUGACAAUCAUAUGUAUCUCAAUUAGAUCUACGAAAAAGUCAAAGAGCGCGUAUCUGUAUAAUGUACGGUAAAAGGGCUAUUUUGCAUUUUUUGCCGAUUCGCACACAUUGGAAUUUCGCUAACUCCUCCUAAGGCUUUCGUCCCACUGACACCAAAUUUGCUCAGGCCAAUCUACACUCCAUGGCCAUUCAAAGUUGUAAAAAUCAUGACGCUGCACCCCACGGUUUACGUUUUAGGGGGCGCCAAAGAUGACCCAAAUAUACAUUACAGUAGACAAAGUAGUUUUGCCCACUGAGUGGCGCCAAAGGGACUUGUCUGUGGAGUCUGUGAGUCACUAUUGGCCGUUUUUGACUACUUUAGAUUUUACCUUUAUAUUUCCUCUUACAAGAUUUUUACCUUGCCUUGCCUGGUAUCAUUUUUUUCAGCACAACCUCACCUGUGUCAAUUUACAGUUAUUUUAUCAUUUUGACAUACUAUAUUUACACAUUGGACCCAAAUUCACACACAAAACAUAAAAUCCGAGUGGAAAAAAGUAACGUUUUUACUGUGAAAACCACAAAUAUGUGUGAUGAACUGUUUUUAAAACUUAAACUUCAAAUAAAAAUUGUAAACUUCAAAACAUAUGCAAAUUUUUAACAAAGAACAUAGUAAUUUACCUCUAUUUACAUCAAAAUGCAGGCAAUGGCCCAGGUGUUCUUUGUAAAAUUAUUUACAAAACACUGUAUAGUCUCACAAAUGUCACUUUUUAUUUAUGCCACUACAAAAAAACAUGAUGUAAAUGAUGCAUGAUGUAAAACAUGAUGUAAAAAACUUGUGUAGAUCCUCCUCUAUGUUAGUCCAUGUGUAAUUUUUCCAUAAUUCUUUGUUUUUUGCAGCAUUUUUGUUAGUGUAACUGCAGAUUGUGCUGACAGUGUCUAUGGCAAAAAAAAAAAAAAAAACUGAAAAUGCCUCAACAUGAACCCCUGGUGGUCUCUGAGGGUGAAACCUGCUAACUGCUGCAGCUCUGUCAGCUUCAGUCUCCCAUGCAGAGCUCGGAGCGCAUGUGUGGCUCUGCACCCUUAGCAGCGUUGCUAACUCCUCAGUAAGGAAAGCCUGCUUCAUGUCAGAGUCUCUAAACUCCAGAAGAAGUCGAUAAAAGUCACUUUCUUUCUAAAAAAAAGUCGUUAGGGGGUCUGAAAAGUCAUUGAAUCUAACAACAAAGUUGCUAGGUUUGCAACUACGUGUCCCAGACUGCAUCCCUGCUGAGAGUCCCUCCCUCCCUUCUCAUGUUGCAGGAAGAACGUAAGUUCCCGCCCCUUGUCAAUCAGUCACCAUAUAAUUUUGGAUUGGUUGUUGUGGUGAAGUUUUCCACCAAUAGGAGAGAUGUUGUGGUGUGUAUUUUUUUUCCUUUGGCAAGCCUUUUCCGCCUGUAAGACCUGUCGCUAAUGUCUGCAUACUAUGUUUUCCUGUCUCAUACAGCGCGAUCGAGCGCCGAACGUGAUCAAAAUAAGCAGAAAACAAGUAUCGCGGACAUAAUUUAUCAUAACUCUGGUUUUAUUUGGCCUAUCAACACAAUUUAAAAACUGGUAUAUAGGUUGAGGUCCUCACUUUUGAGAUAAAUUGAAACGGAGAGUCAACGAGGCUCCGUCUUGCAGCUACAUCCGGUUAAAUAUGUCAUGUGACUUGAACGCACACACACACACACACACAGACACACACACACACGCACACACACACACUCAGAGUCUGGUUUGUAGCACCUGCAAAAACAUGCUAUUUACAUAUUUGACAAGAAUGCAGAGGCUCCUUUUGCCCCUGAAAAAAAUCAAAUUUCAAACACAACUUGACUGCUCAUUUCUCCAAAAGACAACCAUGAAGCUCCAUCCAAACCUGAAGCAGGCAGUUGGUGCAUGUGUACAGUAACCUGAGGGGAGUGAGGUGACUGCUUCUGAGGAGAACAUGAGCAGUGAAGAUUUACCUUAGAGCUAGAACAGAGACGUGCACAUGAUUAUACAGGGGCAGGGGCUCAAGUUUUUUCCAGUCGUUUAUACAAUUUGGAAAUUAAUGUGAAAUUAAAAAACAAAGUAUUAAUAGAAAGGUAAUGACUGUCCUGUGUAGGUGACAGUGAUAUCCAAUAGGCUAGGCACUCACGAGGCUGGCUGUGGCAAGUGUAAGUGAAAGCAACACGCACUGGCAGGAAGAACAGCAAACGCCGAUGAAGGAAAAGGGUCUUUGCAGUGAUGGGCGUUACCAAAGAGGGCGAUGGCCAGAGGACACAAAUGGGACGGGGAGGCAGCGCGUUGGGGGGGGGACGCGACACAGCUCGGGCCCGCCAGUGCCCCAACGGGGUCCUAGUUAGGGCCCGAGCGUAGCUGCUAAGCAGCUGCGAGAGCCCUCUUGUUCCUGCAUGUUUCCUUCUUUUGUUAUUAUUAUUAUUUUUCCUCCCCUUUGAACUGGAAAAUGGCCCACUUCCCACUGGCGAAAACUCAUGAAAUUUGGCAGGACGACCGGGCCUGGUGAAAAAUUUGAUAUUCCGAAGUCGCCCAAACAAGAAAAUGCAAAAUGGCUCCAUAGCGCCCCCUAAGGUGAAAAUUCACACUAUUGACUGUCACGCCUGUACGCUUUGUCAUAUUGACACAAAAUUUGACACACACAUGUAUCUCAAUAAGAUCUACAAAAAAGUCAGUGCGGGCGUAUCUGUAAAAUGUACGGAUAAAGGGUUAUUUCACAUUUUUUGCCGAUCCGCACACAUUGGAAUUUCGCUAACUCCUCCGAAGGCUUUCGUUCCACCGGCACCACAUUUGCUCAGGCCAAUCUACACCCCAUGGCCAUUAAAAGUUAUUCAAAUCAUGACGCUGCACCCCACGGUUUAGGUUCUAGGGGGCGCCAAAGAUAACCCUAAAAUCCACAUAUUUAAAAGUCUUAUAACUUUUUAUUUUUGCCCUCACUGGCCUCCAAGUUUUCUAGGAUGAUGCAAUGUCCAGCCAUCAACACAUUUGUGAAGGAAUUUUUACUCCCCAAAAGAGCGCCCCCCCAUGGCAGGAGAAAAAAGUCCAUUUUUUCUUGUCCCCUAAGGUGAAAAUACACAUUGUUGAGUGUCACACCUGUACGCUUUGUCAAAAUGACACAAAAAUUGACACACACAUGUAUCUCAAUAAGAUCUACGAAAAAGUCAAUGCGCGCAUAUCUGUCAAAUGUACGGUUAAAGGGUUAUUCCGCAUUUUUUGCCGAUUCGCACACAUUGGAAUUUCGCUAACUCCUCCGAAGGCUUUCGUUCCACCGGCACCACAUUUGCUCAGGCCAAAUUACACCCCAUGGCCAUUAAAAGUUAUUCAAAUCAUGACGCUGCACCCCACGGUUUACGUUCUAGGGGGCGCCAAAGAUAACCCAAAAAUCCACAUUUUUAAAAGUCUUAUAACUUUUUAUUUUUGUCCUCACUGGCCUCCAAGUUUUCUAGGAUGAUGCAAUGUCCAGCCAUCAACACAUUUGUGAAGGAAUUUUUACUCCCUAAAAGAGCGCCCCCCCAUGGCAGGAGAAAAAAGUCCAUUUUUUCUUGUCCCCUAAGGUGAAAAUACACAUUGUUGACUGUCACGCCUGUACGCUUUGGCAAAAUGACACAAAAAUUGACAAUCAUGUGUAUCUCAAUUAGAUCUACAAAAAAGUCAAAGAGCGCGUAUCUGUAUAAUGUACGGUAAAAGGGCUAUUUUGCAUUUUUUGCCGAUUCGCACACAUUGGAAUGUGGCUAUCUCCUCCUAAGGCUUUCGUCCCACUGAUACCAAAUUUGCUCAGGGCAAUCUACACCCCAUGCCCAUUCAAAGUUGUAAAAAUCAUGACGCUGCACCCCACGGUUUACGUUCUAGGGGGCGCCAAAGAUGACCCAAAAAUCCACAUUCUUAAAAGUUAUUUUGGCCACUGCAGGAGUACAGAGUACUGCAGUUCUAGGGGGCGCCAAAGAUGACCCAAAAAUCCACAUUCUUAAAAGUCUUUUUGGCCACUGCAGGAGUACAGAGUACUGCAGGAUACACACACAUAUACACACACGCCAACACACACACACACACACACACACACACACACACACACACACACACACACACACACACACACAGAGUCUGUUUUUUAGCACCUGCAAAAACAUGCUGUUUACAUAUUUGACAAGAAUGCAGAGGCUUCCUUUUGCCCCUGAAAAAAUCAAAUUUCAAACACAACUUGACUGUUAAUUUCUCCAAAAGACAACCAUGAAGCUCCAUCCAAACCUGAAGCAGAUAGUUGGUGCAUGUGUACAGUAACCUGAGGGGAGUGAGGUGACUAUUUCUGAGGAGAACAUGAGCAGUGAAGAUUCACCUUGGAGCUAGAACAGGGACGUGCACAUGAUUAUACAGGGGCAGGGGCUCAAGUUUUUUCCAGUCAUUUAUACAAUAUGGAAAUUAAUGUGAAAUUAAAAAACAAAGUAUUAAUAGAAAGGUUAUGACUGUCCUGUGUAGAUGACAGUGAUAUCCAAUAGGCUAGGCACUCACGAGGCUGGCUGUGGCAAGUGUAAGUGAAAGCAACACGCACUGGCAGGAAGAACAGCAAACGCCGAUGAAGGAAAGGGUCUUUGCAGUGAUGGGCGUUACCAGAGAGGACGAUGGCCAGAGGACGCGAAUGGGACGGGGAGGCAGCGCGUUGGGGGGGGCAGCGCGACACGGCUCGGGCCCGCCAGUGCCCCAACGGGGCCCUAGUUCUUCUUUCUUUCUUCUUUUUCCUCCCCUUUGAACUGGAAAAUGGCCCACUUCCCACUGGCGAAAACUCAUGAAAUUUGGCAGGACGACCGGGCCUGGUGAAAAAUUUGAUAUUCUGAAGUCGUCCAAACAAUAAAAUGCAAAAUGGCUCCAUAGCGCCCCCUAAGGUGAAAAUUAACACUAUUGACUGUCACGCCUCUAUGCUUUGUCAAAAUGACACAAAAAUUGACACACACAUGUAACGCAAUAAGAUCUACAAAAAAGUCAGUGCGGGCGUAUCUGUCAAAUGUACGGUUAAAGGGUUAUUCCGCAUUUUUUGCCGAUCCGCACACAUUGGAAUUUCGCUAACUCCUCCGAAGGCUUUCGUUCCACCGGCACCACAUUUGCUCAGGCCAAUCUACACCCCAUGGCCAUUAAAAGUUAUUCAAAUCAUGAUGCUGCACCCCACGGUUUAGGUUCUAGGGGGCGCCAAAGAUAACCCUAAAAUCCACAUAUUUCAAAGUCUUAUAUCUUUUUAUUUUUGUCCUCACUGGCCUCCAAGUUUUCUAGGAUGAUGCAAUGUCCAGCCAUCAACACAUUUGUGAAGGAAUUUUUACUCCCCAAAAGAGCGCCCCCCCAUGGCAGGAGAAAAAAAUCCAUUUUUUCUUGUCCCCUAAGGUGAAAAUACACAUUGUUGAGUGUCACGCCUGUACGCUUUGGCAAAAUGACACAAAAAUUGACACACACAUGUAUCUCAAUAAGAUCUACAAAAAAGUCAAUGGGCGCGUAUCUGUCAAAUGUACGGUUAAAGGGUUAUUCCGCAUUUUUUGCCGAUACGCACACAUUGGAAUUUCGCUAACUCCUCCGAAGGCUGGCGUUCCACCGGCACCACAUUUGCUCAGGCCAAAUUACACCCCAUGGCCAUAAAAAGUUAUUCAAAUCAUGACGCUGCACCCCACGGUUUAGGUUCUAGGGGGCGCCAAAGAUAACCCUAAAAUCCACAUAUUUAAAAGUCUUAUAACUUUUUAUUUUUGUCCUCACUGGCCUCCAAGUUUUCUAGGAUGAUGCAAUGUCCAGCCAUCAACUCAUUUGUGAAGGAAUUUUUACUCCCCAAAAGAGCGCCCCCCCCCAUGGCAGGAGAAAAAAGUCCAUUUUUUCUUGUCCCCUAAGGUGAAAAUACAUAUUGUUGAGAUUCACGCCUGUACGCUUUGUCAUAUUGACACAAAAUUUGACAAUCACGUGUAUCUCAAAAAGAUUUAUGAAAAAGUCAAUGCGCGCGUAUCUGUCAAAUGUACGGUUAAAGGGCUAUUUUGCAUUUUUUGCCGAUCCGCACACAUUGGAAUUUCGCUAACUCCUCCUAAAGCUUUCGUCCCAUGGGCACCAAAUUUGCUCAGGCCAAUCUACACCCCAUGGCCAUUCAAAGUUGUAAAAAUCAUGAUGCUGCACCCCACGGUUUACGUUCAAGGGGGCGCCAAAGAUAACCCAAAAAUCCCCAUUUUCAAAAGUCUUAUAACUUUUUAUUUUUGUCCUCACUGGCCUCCAAGUUUUCUAGGAUAAUGCAAUGUUCAGCCAUCAACACAAUUGUGAAGGAAUUUUUACUCCCCAAAAGUUCGCCCCCCCAUGGCCGGAGGAAAAGUCAAGUUUUUCCUGCCCAUCGCUCAAUGGCUUAAACGCAUCGCCCUCUCGGCAAAACCAAAAGGAGGAGCAACUUGCCAUUUGGAUAUAUCCUAGCUGUGUUUGUGCCCUCACUCAUGGUCCAGACUUUUUUCAAAUAAGACAUGGAGUUUUUCUGCAGCGAGCGUUUUGGUAGAAACUGCGCCUCCCAUUCAUUAUAAUGGUAAAUGACCACAGACAAGUGCGCACACCAUCUUUGGACCUUGAGUGUGCCGCGAUCGGAAGGGGGGGGGGCGUCGCGCUGGGGGCGGCACAACAUGGCUCGGGCCCGCCAGUGCCCCACCGGGGCCCUAGUCUUUGUUAGGGCCCGAGCGUAGCUGCUAAGCAGCUGCGAGAGCCCUCUUGUUAGGGCCCGAGCGUAGCUGCUAAGCAGCUGCGAGAGCCCUCUUGUUCCUGCAUGUUUCCUUCUUUCGUUAUUAUUUUUCCUCCGCUUUAAACUGGAAAAUGGCCCACUUCCCACUGGCGAAAACUCAGGAAAUUUGGCAGGACGACCGGGCCUGGUGAAAAAUUCGAUAUUCUGAAGUUGCCCAAACAAUAAAAUGCAAAAUGGCUCCAUAGCGCCCCCUAAGGUGAAAAUUCACAUGACGGCUGUACGCUUUGUCAUAUUGACACAAAAAUUGACACACACAUGUAUCUCAAUAAGAUCUACAAAAAAGUCAGUGCGGGCGUAUCUGUCAAAUGUACGGUUAAUGGGUUAUUUUGCAUUUUUUGCAGAUCUGCACACAUUGGAAUUUCGCUAACUCCUCCGAAGGCUUUCGUUCGACCGGCACCACAUUUGCGCAGGCCAAUCUACCCCCCAUGGCCAUUAAAAGUUGUACAAAUCAUGACGCUGCACCCCACGGUUUACGUUCUAGGGGGCGCCAAAGAUAACCCAAAAUCCACAUUCUUAAAAGUCUUAUAACUUUUUAUUUUUGUCCUCACUGCCCUCCAAGUUUUCUAGGAUGAUGCAAUGUCCAGCCAUCAACACAUUUGUGAAGGAAUUUUUACUCCCCAAAAGAGCGCCCCCCCAUGGCAGGAGAAAAAAGUCAAUUUUUUCUUGUCCCCUUACAUGAAAAUACACAUUGUUGAGUGUCACGCCUGAACGCUUUGUCAUAUUGACACAAAAAUUGACAAUCAUGUGUAUCUCAAUUAGAUCUACGAAAAAGUCAAAAAGCGCGUAUCUGUAUAAUGUACGGUUAAAGGGCUAUUUCGCAUUUUUUGCCGAUUAGCACACAUUGGAAUGUGGCUAUCUCCUCCUAAGGCUUUCGUCCCACCGAUACCAAAUUUGCUCAGGGAAAUCUACACCCCAUGCCCAUUCAAAGUUGUAAAAAUCAUGCCGCUGCACCCCAUGGUUUACGUUCUAGGGGGCGCCAAAGAUGACCCAAAUAUCCACAUUCUUAAAAGUCGUUUUGGCCACUGCAGGAGUACAGAGUACUGCAGGAUACACACACACAGACACACACACACACAGACACACACACACACGCACACACACACACACACACACACACACACACACACACACACACACACACACACACAUACACACUCAGAGUCUGUUUUUCAGCACCUGCAAAAACAUGCUAUUUACAUAUUUGAAAACAAUGCAGAGACUUCCUUUUGCCCCUGAAAAAAAUGAAAUUUCAAACACAACUUGACUGCUCAUUUCUCCAAAAGACAACCAUGAAGCUCCAUCCAAACCUGAAGCAGGCAGUUGGUGCAUGUGUACAGUAACCUGAGGGGAGUGAGGUGACUGCUUCUGAGGAGAACAUGAGCAGUCAAGAUUCACCUUGGAGCUAGAACAGGGACGUGCACAUGAUUAUACAGGGGCAGGGGCUCAAGUUUUUUCCAGUCGUUUAGACAAUAUGGAAAUUAAUGUGAAAUUAAAAAACAAAGUAUUAAUAGAAAGGUAAUGACUGUCCUGUGUAGGUGACAGUGAUAUCCAAUAGGCUAGGCACUCACGAGGCUGGCUGUGGCAAGUGCAAGUGAAAGCCACACGCACUGGCAGGAAGAACAGCAAACGCCGAUGAAGGAAAAGGGUCUUUGCAGUGAUGGGCGUUACCAGAGAGGACGAUGGCCAGAGGACGCGAAUGGGACGGGGAGGCAGCGCGUUGGGGGGGGGGGGGGGGGCGCAACACAGCUCGGGCCCGCCAGUGCCCCAACGGGGCCCUAGUUCCUGCAUGUUUCCUUCUUUUGUUAUUAUUAUUAUUUUUCCUCCCCUUUAAACUGGAAAAUAGCCCACUUCCCACUGGCGAAAACUCAUGAAAUUUGGCAGGACGACCGGGCCUGGUGAAAAAUUUGAUAUUCUGAAGUCGCCCAAACAAUAAAAUGCAAAAUGGCUCCAUAGCGCCCCCUAAGGUGGAAAUUCACACAAUUGACUGUCACGCCUGUACGCUUUGUCAAAAUGACACAAAAUUUGAC